CAUAGCAACAGCAGCGUAGCUGAACAUCUUACGGAUGGCCCAGGGCUCCAAAGGCUCGUUUCCUAAGUGAGAGAGAGCCUGGCUGAAGCUGUAUUACCAUUCAUUCUCCAGCCUCCGAAGUCUCAAAGCAUCACUUCCACCAUACUCUAACUGUCAAGACAAACACAAAGGCCCAGAAACUGCCAGACUGUCUUCUGAAGUGGCUAUAAUAUUUACACUCCCAUCAGCAGUGUAGAAGGGGUCUCACUAUGUUGUCUGGAGUGCUGUGGUGGAGUGGAGUGGCUAUUCACAGAGCCUGUUCUGCUGGGACACAGAAUCACUUGCUCCAUCUCAUACAUUGAUGAUGAUUAAUUUGUAUGUGUACCUUCCAAAAAAGAUGGUUGUGUUUGAAUGGAGGCCUUCUGGACAGGAAAAUAUGGAGAGUGCGUGCUUUGGAUUCAAGACUGGGAAUGAGGGGACCAGAAACCUAUUCUGUGGCUGUUUCUUGUUAGGACUUUCCUAAGCCUCUGGAAAAGUGCAAAGUACAAUUAACAUUUGAGUCUGUCUGAGUCAUGAAGAAAUGGAGAUUACUGAAAAUAAUUCAUUUUGGUAUCUUCUUACAUCCUGAGAGACUAAUCUUUCCAAGUUCAUCUGAGGCUCCUCUUCUCCAUGACAACCUCAUCCAGGGAUUUCUUCCUGUCCUGGUGUUUUAUGACAUAAUCACAUCCUUCCUGAGAUAAUGAGCACACAAUUGCCUGGAUACCUGAAGGAAUGGAGACAGCGGCAGAAAACACUGCAGAGAGGUGGAAACAUCCGUUAAUAUUUUAAAAUCCCAUUACUGCUACCAACAAUAAUAAUGGAUGCAUAGAAAUAGAUCUGGAUUAGCUGAGCUUGAAACAGUCCAUCUCACACACACACAAAAGAAUUUCAGAUACAGUGAACCCACAUGUUGAAGCUUUCUAGUAUAAUAAAAAUUUCAACUGUUCUGUUGAAUCAUCUGCCUGAUUGGAGGCUACAGAAAAGAUGUCAUCUUAGGAGUGCUUGCUCUGAGUGAGGCUCAUCUUCAAAUCUGAAUGACCACAAGGAGAUUUGAUUAUACAUGUGAACACCUCAGAAGGCACAGCCCACCCAGAAGGCAGACAGGAGGAGACAGACACUAGAGCUCACCGGCUCGCCCUCUCACUCCUACUCAUCUGAGAAGGCAGCCAGCUAACCCUUCAGCCAGGAAGAGGGUCCUCAUCAGAACCUGGCCGUGGUGGCAUCCAGAUCUUGAACCUCCGGACUCCAGACUGUGAGAAAAUAAGUGUGUUGUUUAAACUA
rnacentral:lncRNA from 1 species